CAUAUUCUCUGUUUAUAUUUUGUAUACACCAUUAUUUUUGUUCAAAAUAUAUUUUCCUUUAUUAAGUUUUGUCUUUGUCUCGUAUAAGAAUCACAUUACCAAAGAGUUAUAUCAUAAUACUGUGAUUUCAUAGGCAUUUCUGCUAAACCAGGUUUUGUGGGUUUUAAAAUCUAGUCACUUGUCUACCUUAGAGUGAUGGGGUUUGUGAC